AACGAACGCUGGCGGCAGGCCUAACACAUGCAAGUCGAGCGCCCAGCAAUGGGAGCGGCGGACGGGUGAGUAACACGUGGGAAUAUGCCUUUCGGUUCGGCACAACUCAGGGAAACUUGAGCUAAUACCGAAUACGUCCGUAAGGAGAAAGAUUUAUCGCUGAAGGAUCGGCCCGCGUCUGAUUAGCUAGUUGGUGAGGUAAUGGCUCACCAAGGCGACGAUCAGAGCUGGUCUGAGAGGUUGGCCGGCCACAUUGGGACUGAGACACUGCCCAGACUCCGUACGGGGG
rnacentral:rRNA from 1 species